rnacentral:rRNA from 1 species
CCUACGGGGGGCAGCAGUGAGGAAUAUUGGUCAAUGGACGAGAGUCUGAACCAGCCAAGUAGCGUGAAGGAUGACUGCCCUAUGGGUUGUAAACUUCUUUUAUAUGGGAAUAAAACGUUCCACGUGUGGGAUUUUGUAUGUACCAUAUGAAUAAGGAUCGGCUAACUCCGUGCCAGCAGCCGCGGUAAUACGGAGGAUCCGAGCGUUAUCCGGAUUUAUUGGGUUUAAAGGGAGCGUAGGUGGAUUGUUAAGUCAGUUGUGAAAGUUUGCGGCUCAACCGUAAAAUUGCAGUUGAGACUGGCAGUCUUGAGUACAGUAGAGGUGGGCGGAAUUCGUGGUGUAGCGGUGAAAUGCUUAGAUAUCACGAAGAACUCCGAUUGCGAAGGCAGUUCACUGGACUGCAACUGACACUGAGGCUCGAAAGUGUGGGUAUCAAACAGGAUUAGAUACCCCUGUAGUC